GCUGUUUUUGGUUAUUAUCUUGAAUAUUAUUAUAGAUAGAGAUAAACUGUAAACAGGAAUAAUGUUCAACAAAGUAAGAUUUACAAAUAAGUCAAUAUGACGGAAUUGGUCAGUUGACCCCUUUAGGAGUUAUUGCCCUUUAUAGUCAAUUUUUAACCAUUUUUCGUAAAUCUUAGUAAUCUUUUACAAAAAUCUUCUCCUCUGAAACUACUGGGCCAAAUACUUCCAAACUUUAAUUGAAUGUUCCUUAGGGUAUCUAGUUUUGUAAAUUGUAUCCGAAGUUAUGAUCUAUCAACAAACAUGGUCGCCAUUGCUAAAAAUAGAACAUAGGGGUCAAAUGCAGUUUUUGGCUUAUAACUCAAAAACCAAAGCAUUUAGAGCAAAUCUGACAUGGGAUAAUAUUGUUUAUCAGGUCAAGAUCUAUCUGCCCUGAAAUUUUCAGAUGAAUCAGACAACAUGUUGUUGGGUUACUGCCCCUGAAUUGGUAAUUUUAAAGAAAUUUUACUGUUUUUGGUUAUUAUCUUGAAUAUUAUUAUAGAUAGAGAUAAACUGUAAACAGCAAUAAUGUUCAGCAAAGUAAGAUUUACAAAUAAGUCAACAUGACGGAAAUGGUCAGUUGACCCCUUUAGGUGUUAUUGCCCUUUAUAGUCAAUUUUUAACCAUUUUUCGUAAAUCUUAGUAAUCUUUUACAAAAAUCUUCUCCUCUGAAACAACUGGGCCAAAUACUUCCAAACUUUAACUGAAUGUUCCUUAGGGUAUCUAGUUUGUAAAUUGUAUCCGAAGUUAUGAUCUAUCAACAAACAUGGUCGCCAUUGCUAAAAAUAGAACAUAGGGGUCAAAUGCAGUUUUUGGCUUAUAACUAAAAAACCAAAGCAUUUAGAGCAAAUCUGAC
rnacentral:lncRNA from 1 species